rnacentral:rRNA from 1 species
GAUGAACGCUAGCGGCAGGCCUAACACAUGCAAGUCGAGGGGUAGAACACUUCGGUGUUUGAGACCGGCGCACGGGUGCGUAACGCGUAUGCAAUCUACCUUGUACAGGGGAAUAGCCCAGAGAAAUUUGGAUUAAUGCCCCAUAGUAUAUAACCUUCGCAUGUUGGUUAUAUUAAAGUUCCAACGGUACAAGAUGAGCAUGCGUCCCAUUAGUUAGUUGUUAAGGUAACGGCUUACCAAGACGAUUAUGGGUAGGGGUCCUGAGAGGGAGAUCCCCCACACUGGUACUGAGACACGGACCAGACUCCUACGGGAGGCAGCAGUGAGGAAUAUUGGUCAAUGGGCGCAAGCCUGAACCAGCCAUGCCGCGUGCAGGAAGACGGUCCUAUGGAUUGUAAACUGCUUUUAUACAGGAAGAAACCCUCCCACGUGUGGGAGAUUGACGGUACUGUAGGAAUAAGGAUCGGCUAACUCCGUGCCAGCAGCCGCGGUAAGAC